UACAUAUCAGGGUCACCCCCUUGCUUUUAGU
rnacentral:piRNA from 1 species